CGCCACUCUCACCGAAGCUCUCAUCGCCAUCAAAUCGUCGGAGUUUGGAGAUGAUAGGUAGGAGCUGUUGGCGAGUCUCUGCUGCCGCCGCCGUCGUUGCGAGAUCUGAGACCACAAGAAGGGAAGAUGUUUCGAGAGAAGCAUUGGCAUCUAGUUUCUAUUUCACCUCUAUUUCGGCGCCAUGAAUAUGUUCUGAUGUGACUCCGCCUCCGCCAACGAAGCUG
rnacentral:lncRNA from 1 species